ACACUCCAACCCUCCUGGCAUCGGAGAUAUCUACCAGACAGACUGUGAAAUAGCUUGAAUAAGUGGACCCUGCAAAUACCUAUAUCAUUUGCCUCUACCCUCCUGGAAGACCAUUUCCUCUUGUCUGCUACACUCCAACCCUCCUGGCAUCGGAGAUAUCUACCAGACAGACUGUGAAAUAGCUUGAAUAAGUGGACCCUGCAAAUACCUAUAUCAUUUGCCUCUACCCUCCUGGAAGACCAUUUCCUCUUGUCUGCUACACUCCAACCCUCCUGGCAUCGGAGAUAUCUACCAGACAGACUGUGAAAUAGCUUGAAUAAGUGGACCCUGCAAAUACCUAUAUCAUUUGCCUCUACCCUCCUGGAAGACCAUUUCCUCUUGUCUGCUACACUCCAACCCUCCUGGCAUCGGAGAUAUCUACCAGACAGACUGUGAAAUAGCUUGAAUAAGUGGACCCUGCAAAUACCUAUAUCAUUUGCCUCUACCCUCCUGGAAGACCAUUUCCUCUUGUCUGCUACACUCCAACCCUCCUGGCAUCGGAGAUAUCUACCAGACAGACUGUGAAAGUAUGCUAUUCAUAUAUGUUUAACCCACAUCAGCUGAACUGUGUGAACCAGUCUAGCUACUUGCACAGGACUGCCAGCAGCCAAUAGGUCUGGCCCUCUUCACUACUCUACUCUAGACUUUCGACUACCUUUUUUUAUACUUCUAUCCUCUCUUCCCUCUCACCUUUCCUCCUUUAUUAGCCACCUACGAGUAUAUCAGUGAUAUAUAUACUCUCUCAGGCCACUAGGUGGCAUCCUUUGUUCUUUUAAAUCUGCUCCUUCCUGAUUUAUUACAACACAUACCCCUUUAUCUCUUGAUUUGGUGUC